AUUGAACGCUGGCGGCAUGCCUUACACAUGCAAGUCGAACGGUAACGGGCCUUCGGGUGCCGACGAGUGGCGAACGGGUGAGUAAUGUAUCGGAACGUACCUUUCAGUGGGGGAUAACGUAGCGAAAGUUACGCUAAUACCGCAUAUUCUGUGAGCAGGAAAGCAGGGGAUCGCAAGACCUUGCGCUGAUUGAGCGGCCGGUAUCAGAUUAGCUGGUUGGUGAGGUAAAGGCUCACCAAGGCGACGAUCUGUAGCGGGUCUGAGAGGAUGAUCCGCCACACUGGAACUGAGACACGGUCCAGACUCCUACGGGAGGCAGCAGUGGGGAAUUUGGGACAAUGGGGGCAACCCUGAUCCAGCCAUGCCGCGUGAGUGAAGAAGGCCUUCGGGUUGUAAAGCUCUUUCGGCCGGGAAGAAAUCGUAUGGGUUAAUACCCUGUGCGGAUGACGGUACCGGCAUAAGAAGCACCGGCUAACUACGUGCCAGCCGCCGCCGUAAAAC
rnacentral:rRNA from 1 species